CCUGAGUAGUGGUCACAGAGAGGGGCCUUCGCUAAGCUGCUUUCAAUCCAGAUAAGAAAGCUAAGCAGAAAGAUGUGCAGUGACUUGUCCAAGGUAGGAAAAUGUGGGGACAGACAGUCUGCCCACAAAGAGACACAGGUGCUGGCUGCUAGGAGCAGGCAUGGGCAUGGUAAAGGGAUCUGAGGGAAUAUGCAUGGAACAACGACUACAUUUGCUGGAGAUGCUUACAAAAUCUUACUGCUGUAAUUAAUAAAUAUGGAAACCUCUGUUUACUGACUGUGUUCAUUCAUAUUAAAAACAUUUACUUAAAAGAAAGAGGACUAAAUAGUAAUACAUUGUUGGGUCAGCACUUCUUACUGGGAAAGGAGAUUUGAAGAGUCUUACUUUUGUAAACCCUUUCCUAAGUGACACCUGCACCUUAAAUGUCACACCUUAUAUUGCUUUAUGUUCUCAGAGUUCACAUUCUAAAACUCAUACAUUAGGAAUUAGGACCAGUGGAUAUAAAAACUUGAUGACCCCUGGGGACACCAAAUCUUGAUUGCUGCUUGUUUUUACAGAGGCAAGACAACUGAAGUUUGGGGAGAAAAAUUCCCUUCCUGACAGCAACAUGCCAGACCAUUAAGAACUUUUGCAAAAAUCAAUAUUGGUCUGAAUUAUUCAACUGGUGUACAACACGAUAUAGUGGAAUGUAAACUAUUGGGCUCCAACCAAAGAUUGUGGCUGGCAUCCACUACAAAUACCCAAAGUAAAUACUCUCUAGGGAGGAAAACAGCAAGAGGAGGAGGAAAUGUCAGGUUUCAGAAAAUUAGCCAACCAAGCUCACCCAGCAUAAAUGCCC